rnacentral:rRNA from 1 species
CCUGGUGAAAUUAGCGCUGUGGUCCCACCCGUUCCCAUCCCGAACACGCGCAGCCGCGCCGAUGGUAGUGUGGCUUAAGCCAUGCAAGAGUAGGUCAUCGCCAGGG